AGUGGAGAAGAGAGCCAUGGCUACACCCACCCAGAGCUCCAACACGCAAGAGGCUGAGAAGGAAGGCUGAGAAUGCCGCGCUAGCACAUGCUGGGAGAAUGUGAUAGAGAGACUGAAGUGGAAGUAGGAAGACCAUGAGCUGAAAAAGAAGAAAACCAAAAAACAUAAGUCCAGUUCCAUCACCUUUCUAAAGACAUUCAGCCAUGAGCAGUGGAGAAAAAACAGUCCCUGUCCUUUUCAGCUUCAAGGAGCAUGUCAAGAAAAAUGUCUGAAACCUAGGUCACCAGUGCUUGUCUUGGCCCCAAGUCCACCAGAAGACCCUGACUCCUUCAGAGCAGUCUUGCUUUUCUUCCUUCUUGCCUUUCCUCCUGUCAAUAUCUAAGGUAAUAUUAUCUUUAAUAUAAACCUUAAGUGUUUGAUAAAGGCAUUAUC
ensembl:antisense